CCGCAGGGUUAGCUCUGGUUGCUCUGGGCACUUGUGGGAGAGCAGGGUCAGAGCGGAGGGCAGCAGUUGGGGGCUGAAUGAUGGUGCCCACUCCUGCACACCCCGCGGUGGGCGAGGCCGCCCCUGCCUCCCUCUCCAAGGAGCCGACCACGAAGUCCGAGAAGCAGAGAGGGGAGAUGGGGAGGGAAUGGCAGUGGGGCUGCAGGGCACGCUCGGGUCAGCACUAACCGCUGGUGUAAAGGGACGAGUGGCCACUUCUGGCGGAACAACAGGCGGCGGUGGAAGGCAGCGCUCAGGCCGUCAGCGGGCCUGCGGGGGACGCACUCACCGAGGACCAGCAGCACUUUCCAGCUAGGCGCCCGAUGCGCACGGCAGAGCUCAGGGUCCGGCAGCGCCUCAAAGGCCUGCACCCGGGGCUCUGGCCCCGCCCGAGUACACGUGCGCGUCAGGCCCCGCCCCCAGGCGCCCUGGCCCCGCCCCUCGCUCAACCACCGCGCUUCCCGUGGACCCUGAUGCGGUGAUCUCAGGAGACCCCCAGCUGCUGCGGUUCCUGGCUGAGUGAGGCCAGGCCCUCAGGCUCCAGCAUGGCCCUGCAAGACCACUGCUGCACCCCUGCGGCUGUGCAGAGGAGGCUGCCCAUCCUGGCCUGGCGGUUGGACUCUGAAGAUGGACUUCAUCACUGGACUUUCAGUGGGGCUCAAGGUCAUUCCCCACGCACUGGCCUGUGCUGAGGUGACCUGACUCCUGCCCCAGGGUUCCUGCUGUACUUCGUCUCCUGUGCCAUCAUUAAAGGUUUCACCUCUGCUGCUACCAUCACCGUGGACUUCGGGCAGAUCCAGGCUGGCCUGUGCAGUCUUCCCUGAUGGAGGGCAGUGAGCAGAUCAAGGCCAGGAGGAGGCGUGUGUGAGAAUCCAGCAGCUGACAUGUCUUCCCUCUCACUCUGUUCUGGGGCUGGAUCCACACUUUCCCUGUGCUUCCUUCUCGCCACACCCCUGGGAGGGAGGUUUAUCAUCAUCUGCAUUUAGAGAGGAGGAAACCCCUUAGAAAGUUUGAUCCUGAAGGCAUCUGUCACUUCUGGAAUCCACUACAACGACGAGGAGGAGAGUCACUUCAAUGCCUAUGAAAUGGAACCUUCAGGAGUUUUUAGUUAUAAAUCUUGGAAUCUGGAAGAUUCAAUUCAUGAUUGCAAAAUAUUUAUUUCCUAAUAUUUUGUUUUGUCAUAAACUGAUGCUUUUGAAAGAGAUCUCAUUAAUUGGACUGUUUCACGUCUCUCUGGGGUGGAGCAGUAAUAAACGCAGGUCCACAUUCAUGUUC
rnacentral:lncRNA from 1 species